rnacentral:lncRNA from 1 species
CAAUACCCUCCAAGCUUUCUUCUUCCACCACCUCCCCCCACCCAGUCACUUUACGUGGCCACCUUUAGGAAGGCAAAUAAUUGGGUGCCGCUCUCAUAUGUGCUCCUGCUCCUCUCUUCUUCUGAGUCUUCAGGCAUAGCAAAACUAAAUCUCUCUUUGGGCCCUUACGUUGCCCCUUUACUCCUGGCUGUUACGCUGGGGUGUAACUGCACAUCAGUGACUCUAGCCGCAGCUCAGUGCUCAGCAGGACGCUGGGGAUCCUCUCCAGGGGGGUGCCCUCCUUACAGCUGCCUGGGGCACAAGUACCUGGUAUUUGUGCCCCCAGAGGGGAGGCCAGAGGUUCCUGCAAAAAMUCCCCGGCUUGCUCCCUGGAAGCUUUUCUCACCAUGUCCCUGCCAGUGUGUCACUGUCCCUGCUGAGCUGUUACUGUGUCUCGGUUCUGUUUUUCCUCUCCUCUUUCUCUUGUUCCUGCCAAGUGUAUUCAAAGUCAGCAGGAUCUCUAGAGAGCUCUGUGGUGUCGAAGACCAGGCCCUGACCCUGAAGGUGCAAGACACCACAGUGGCUCUGGGGAUUGAGAUGACCAGUGUAUUUGAAGGGAAAGGCAGGUUCUGUCCAAAGCUGCUCCUGGUGGCAUUGCUUGGUGUGGGUAGAAUUGCAGGGAGAGCAGAGCAGAAACACGGCUGCCCUUUGAGGCAGUAGCCGCUGUUUCCUCUGCUGAGGAGUUCACAUGGGCAUUGGUGGGAUCAAGUUYAGGAAGCUUCCCCUUUCCUAGUGUCCUCUGUGUUACACUGAGCUUGGGCUAGUGGAGGGCACCUCCUGCCAGGAGAUCCUGCCUGCUGGAGGAGGAGGAGGAGGGUGGCAUCAGAAAUAACUGGGGAGCCCCGGGGUCUUGAGGCACUGAAAUGCUGCUACUGAGGUGGCUGAACGCUGAACUUGGCGCAAGGUAGGCACCUCGCCUGUCCGCUGGGAAGCAGAUGGGAAGCCCACRUGCCCCCGCUGAGGACAGGGCGUGCAGAAGAGGCCUGUACCAGAGAGCUGAGCAGUCAUCUCUGGCUGCAGAGAGGCUGCCAUGGCUCUUUGGUCCGGCCAGCACAGAGCCAAAGCUAACCCGCAGGACCUUCAGAGACMAAUCAGGUCCCCCAUGGUGCUGUGAGCAUGGGCGAGGGAGGAUUUCUCAGGGCUUGUGUGUGAGUGAGCAGACGUGGUGGGCCCCACGUCGGGAACGGUGUUGCCAUAUGGUUCUGUAUCCCUGCAAGACGGGCAGUUCCUGUCUGACUGAUACUAACUGUUAAAUAAGAAAUAUAUUUAAAUACGUAUAUAUAUAAAAACAGUCAUAUUAAAGCUGUUACGGCCAUGGAGGGAGCGUGUGAUUUGUGCCCGAGCUCUGCUCUGGCCCUCGCGUGCUGUAGGUGUCCGGUGGUGAGCCGCAGGAAGGGGAAGCCAUGGAGAAAUGCGCAGCCCCACGGCCAGCAGC